rnacentral:rRNA from 1 species
GCAUGCGCAGCUACACAUGCAGUCGAGCGGCAGCACGGGAAGCUUGCUUCCUGGUGGCGAGCGGCGGACGGGUGAGUAAUGCAUAGAAAUCUGCCCGGUAGUGGGGGAUAACCUGGGGAAACCCAGGCUAAUACCGCAUACGUCCUACGGGAGAAAGCAGGGGAUCUUCGGACCUUGCGCUAUCGGAUGAGUCUAUGUCGGAUUAGCUUGUUGGUGAGGUAAUGGCUCACCAAGGCGACGAUCCGUAGCUGGUCUGAGAGGAUGAUCAGCCACAUCGGGACUGAGACACGGCCCGAACUCCUACGGGAGGCAGCAGUGGGGAAUAUUGGACAAUGGGCGAAAGCCUGAUCCAGCCAUGCCGCGUGUGUGAAGAAGGCCUUCGGGUUGUAAAGCACUUUCAGUGGGGAAGAAAGCCUUGGGGCUAAUACCCUCGAGGAAGGACAUCACCCACAGAAGAAGCACCGGCUAACUCCGUGCCAGCAGCCGCGGUAAUACGGAGGGUGCGAGCGUUAAUCGGAAUUACUGGGCGUAAAGCGCGCGUAGGCGGUCUGAUAAGCCGGUUGUGAAAGCCCCGGGCUCAACCUGGGAACGGCAUCCGGAACUGUCAGGCUAGAGUGCAGGAGAGGAAGGUAGAAUUCCCGGUGUAGCGGUGAAAUGCGUAGAGAUCGGGAGGAAUACCAGUGGCGAAGGCGGCCUUCUGGACUGACACUGACGCUGAGGUGCGAAAGCGUGGGUAGCAAACAGGAUUAGAUACCCUGGUAGUCCACGCCGUAAACGAUGUCGACUAGCCGUUGGGCUCCUUGAGAGCUUUGUGGCGCAGUUAACGCGAUAAGUCGACCGCCUGGGGAGUACGGCCGCAAGGUUAAAACUCAAAUGAAUUGACGGGGGCCCGCACAAGCGGUGGAGCAUGUGGUUUAAUUCGAUGCAACGCGAAGAACCUUACCUACCCUUGACAUCGUGCGAACUUUCCAGAGAUGGAUUGGUGCCUUCGGGAACGCACAGACAGGUGCUGCAUGGCUGUCGUCAGCUCGUGUUGUGAAAUGUUGGGUUAAGUCCCGUAACGAGCGCAACCCUUGUCCUUAUUUGCCAGCGCGUAAUGGCGGGAACUCUAAAGGAGACUGCCCGGUGACAAACCGGGAGGAAGGUGGGGGACGACGUCAAGUCAUCAUGGGCCCUUACGGGUAGGGCUACACACGUGCUACAAUGGGCCGGUACAAAGGGUUGCGAAACCCCCAAGGUGGAACUAAUCCCCGAAAAGCUGGUCUCAAUCCCGGAUCGGAGUCUGCAACUCGACUCCGUGAAGUCGGAAUCGCUAGUAAUCGUGAAUCAGAAUGUCACGGUGAAUACGUUCCCGGGCCUUGUACACACCGCCCGUCACACCAUGGGAGUGGACUGCACCAGAAGUGGUUAGCCUAACUUCGGAGGCCGUCACCACGUGUAUGC